AUAUAUAUUUUACAUGAUAGUGGUGCAUGGCCGUUUCCAAUGGAGCUGGAAGUAAUGACUAUUUAAACAAGAUGUGAGACCCUCAUAUAGACAGAUGUAAUGAUACAUAUGAAGGAGAGGAUUAAAACCGGUAGGCCCACUUACAGGUUAACAUGAUA
rnacentral:rRNA from 1 species